ACACGACUACAUUAGAUACCCGUGUAGUCCUAGCCGUAAACGAUACUCGCUAGGUGUCGGCCACGGUGCGACCGUUGUCGGUGCCGUAGGGAAGCCGUGAAGCGAGCCACCUGGGAAGUACGGCCGCAAGGCUGAAACUUAAAGGAAUUGGCGGGGGAGCACCACAACGGGUGGAGCUUGCGGUUUAAUUGGAUUCAACGCCGGAAAUCUUACCGGGACCGACAGCAACAUGAAGGCCAGGCUGAAGACUUUGCCGGAUUUAGCUG
rnacentral:rRNA from 1 species